AAAGAGCUCGUAGGCGGUUCUGUAAGUCGAGUGUGAAAAAUCUGGGCUCAACCCAGUGGAGCACUCGAUACUGCAGUGACUCGAGUCCGGUAGGGGAGUGUGGAAUUCCUGGUGUAGCGGUGAAAUGCGCAGAUAUCAGGAGGAACACCAACGGCGAAGGCAGCACUCUGGGCCGGUACUGACGCUGAGGAGCGAAAGCAUGGGUAGCGAACAGGAUUAGAUACCCUGGU
rnacentral:rRNA from 1 species